UGGGGAAUAUUGCACAAUGGGCGCAAGCCUGAUGCAGCCAUGCCGCGUGUGUGAAGAAGGCCUUCGGGUUGUAAAGCACUUUCAGCGAGGAGGAAGGCGUUAAGGUUAAUAACCUUGGCGAUUGACGUUACUCGCAGAAGAAGCACCGGCUAACUCCGUGCCAGCAGCCGCGGUAAUACGGAGGGUGCAAGCGUUAAUCGGAAUUACUGGGCGUAAAGCGCACGCAGGCGGUUUGUUAAGUCAGAUGUGAAAUCCCCGAGCUUAACUUGGGAACUGCAUUUGAAACUGGCAAGCUAGAGUCUUGUAGAGGGGGGUAGAAUUCCAGGUGUAGCGGUGAAAUGCGUAGAGAUCUGGAGGAAUACCGGUGGCGAAGGCGGCCCCCCUGGACAAAGACUGACGCUCAGGUGCGAAAGCGU
rnacentral:rRNA from 1 species